rnacentral:lncRNA from 1 species
AAAGUUGUAGCGAAGUAGAUACGGUGAAGUAGAAUAACCAAUAGACUGAAGGAGUGGGAGAAGCACCACUGAAGUCGAGAUUCAGCGGGACCGGACAAAAUUGGUCCUCUUUUAAGGUUUUUGCUCCUUUCCCGUUACACGACAACAAGUAAAGAGGGGCAGCUGUAGUGGCCCAAAUUCAUCCGGCCCAGACAAAACAAAAACCAAAAAAUAAUAUUAAAAUCACAGUCUAUUUACAAAAAAAAAAAACCAGAUUGGCCCAAAUUACAAUCCCAAACCUAAACUACCCUAACUCAAACCUACUAAACCCAAUAACCCAGUAGCCCAAAAGCCCAAAACUUAAAAAAUUUUCAAAAACCCUAGCUCCUUUUGGCACCGCAACCUCACCUUGUCAGCAGGCUUACCGUCUAACACCCCCUUGCCACCACUAUCUACAAAACAACAGAGAAACAGAAGCAAAAAGCAAAAGCAGAGAAAAGAAAACAAAAAAACAAAAAGAAUAUACCUUGUAAUAUAUCUGGCUAUAAAAGCCAAAAUCAUCUUGUAACAUAAAGAAAAAAAGAAGAAGAAAUAAAAUACAAAAAAACGAAGUUAAAAAAAAAAGGUAAUUUAUUUUAUUUGCUUUUUUAUUUCAAAAAAAUAAGAAUAAAAACAAAGUUUAAAC